rnacentral:rRNA from 1 species
GACCUCAGAUCAGGCGAGAUUACCCGCUGAAUUUAAGCAUAUUAAUAAGCGGAGGAAAAGAAACUAACAA